rnacentral:lncRNA from 1 species
UCUUUUUGCAUCUCUUAAGCGUAAAUAUUAUUUAAUUAAAAUUAACAAAGUAAGAAAUUUUUGUUUAUAAAGUGAUAAAUAAAUCACAUUAAUUACUUGUCAUUGAGAAAAAAUAUGGCUCAAAUUCUCAUGUUCACUUAUGUUUUGAUCAUAUUUAUUUCUUUAUUUCUUGAUGUAUCCGAUGGUGGUAAGAUAUUUUUUCAUUAUUAUCAAUUUUAUAUAAUACUCAAUAUUUCAUCAUAUUUUAAUAAUAUUUGUUUUUUUUUUUAAUUUGACAUUGCAGUCCAUAUGUCCUGUGCUUAUGACUCUGAUUGUCCAGAUAUGUUUUUUCCAUUUAUUACGAAGUGUGUUAAUUAUGUUUGUGAGUGUUCUUUAUAAACAUAUGAUUUUAAUGUUUAUAUUGUAAAAGUUUGAUAUUCACUCAAAAAAUAAUUGUAAAUUGGCACUAGUCUUACUUUAAUAAUAAUAAUAUUUCAUUUUUCAUAAUAUUUUUUAUGAUAUUCACAAAAUUUUAUUUAUGUUUCACUAAACUAAAUUAUAAUUAACUACUUUAAUAAAUCAUUGAAAUGAGUUCAA